UGUUCAGAAUCAUUUUAGCUAAGGCAUCACAUGUCCAGAAAAUGGUUCUCUUUCCUUUUGAAUGCUACGCAACUGGAAAGAUUUUUGCUUUUUAAAUUAUUUGUGGACCUUUGUUAUGAUGCGUAACCAUGGUAACAAGGUGGGUUUUUUGUUUUUUUUCUUUUUUACAACUGAGAGAAGAUUAGAAAGAGAGGGAGGAAAAUCAACCCAACUUAUCAAUUGAUCACAUCUCUGACAACUAUAUCUCUCUGCCCGGCUUUCUAAUCAUAUGGCUUUUGGGGAUCAGGGAUAAACAGGUUGAAGCCACAAAAUAAGGAUAAAGAAAAGGGAAGAGUCUCUGAGACAAAGAGAGAGGAUAAAAGUUGCGAAACAAAGAAGAGCUUUGAAUGUAACUUCUGUGAGGAAACAGAGGCAUUGCCAUGGGAAUGCAACAGAAAGGAUAUAGAAAGAAGUUAUCGGUGCAGGGGAAGUUGUCUCAGUUGUUCUCUAAAGUGUUUAAAGAAGCAUCAGCAUCCAGGAAAAUGAAAUAUUUCAUUCAAAAUAAGGUUAAUUGGAAGAUGGCCCCCAAAUAAAACUCCUCCUGGUGCAACCUUG